rnacentral:lncRNA from 1 species
CAUCGUGUGGUGGACAUUCAUGCUAAAGAGUGAGGAUAAGACUUGGCAGCUCUUUGAAACACUUAGUGAGAACUCCCUACAUCACAUGUCUGCCACCUCUAGAGAACAACCCAUGUCUCAAUAGAAAAGAUGUGGAAUCUAUCAGAUUGGAAAUGUUAUGGAUAUCCACAGUAAGGUAGAUGAAUUGUCUAAAAAAUUAGACCGUCUUCUGAAUACCGGACACUCUUCGAUUCUACCUAAUCCAGUGCA